rnacentral:rRNA from 1 species
GUCGAGGGGCAGCAUGACUGUAGCAAUACAGUUGAUGGCGACCGGCAAACGGGUGCGGAACACGUACACAACCUUCCUUCGAGCGGGGAAUAGCCCAGAGAAAUUUGGAUUAAUACCCCAUAGUAAACUGACCCGGCAUCGGGAUGGUUUUAAAGAUUUAUCACUUGAAGAUGGGUGUGCGGCUGAUUAGGUAGUUGGCGGGGUAACGGCCCACCAAGCCGACGAUCAGUAACUGGUGUGAGAGCGCGACCAGUCACACGGGCACUGAGACACGGGCCCGACUCCUACGGGAGGCAGCAGUAAGGAAUAUUGGUCAAUGGACGAAAGUCUGAACCAGCCAUGCCGCGUGGAGGAUGAAGGUCCUCUGGAUUGUAAACUUCUUUUAUAUGGGACGAAAAGGGGCCUUUCCAGGCCAACUGACGGUACCAUAUGAAUAAGCACCGGCUAACUCCGUGCCAGCAGCCGCGGUAAUACGGAGGGUGCAAGCGUUAUCCGGAUUCACUGGGUUUAAAGGGUGCGUAGGUGGGUUGGUAAGUCAGUGGUGAAAUCCCCGAGCUUAACUUGGGAACUGCCAUUGAUACUAUCAGUCUUGAAUACUGUGGAGGUCAGCGGAAUAUGUCAUGUAGCGGUGAAAUGCUUAGAUAUGACAUAGAACACCAAUUGCGAAGGCAGCUGGCUACACAAAUAUUGACACUGAGGCGCGAAAGCGUGGGGAUCAAACAGGAUUAGAUACCCUGGUAGUCCACGCCCUAAAACGAUGGAUA